CAUCCCCUUUACUGCCUUUCUCCUGCACCAUACCUUUACAGGCACAGUGAAAAGCAAGAAUUGAGGAGAAAAACCAUGAAGGUAUUGAUUAUUGGCCUUGGAGGUGUAACAAAUGGGGGGAAAACAACACUGGCAGAAAAGCUUAAGAAAAUGCUUCCCAAUUGUGAUAUAAUCUGUCAAGAUGACUUUUUUAAGCCAGAGUCUGAAGUAGAAACAGAUGAACGUGGAUUUAAGCUAUAUGAUGUGCUUGAUGCCCUUUAUAUGGAUGAAAUGGUGAAAAGUAUUCACAAUUGGAUGAAAAGCCCAGCAAGCUCAGGUGUUGUGACAGAAGAGCCACAAAAUACGUGUGACAAUCUGAAAAAUACAGAUGUUUAUAUUUUGAUUGUUGAAGGCUUUCUUCUAUACAAUUAUGAGCCACUUAAUGAACUAUGGAAUAGAAGAUAUUUUUUGACCCUUCCUUACGAAGAGUGCAAAAGGAGAAGGAGCACCAGAGUCUAUCAGCCAGCAGAUACACCGGGUUACUUCGAUGGACACGUGUGGCCUAUGUAUCUGAAACAUAAAAGUGAAUUGGAAGAGAAUGCAAGUAAUAUUGGUAUGGUAUCCCUACUUUUAAACUUAGAAAAUGCUAAAAUGUGGCUCUUACACAGUUACCAUUGGGCUGUGGGGUUGUUUUUUUUAAUGGGACAAAGUUUUCUUCAGAUGUUUUUGUGGCACUUGGACAGUUUGGGUCUUUUGCUGGUUUAUUUUUUAAGUCUAUAAGAGGGGUUUUUUUAACGAUGAAAGUUAUGAAGUUAAAAAGAUACAAAGCUUCUGGUUACUAAGUCCAUUUAAAAAGCUAUUAUUUUAAAUGGCUAGAACAUUUGUAUGGUGUAUGUAACAAGCUAGCACAUAUAUGUGUGGCUUUAUAGGAAACUUCCGAGACGACAGCAGAUGCACUGUCACGGUUCCUCAGAUCAUAACUGAAAUCCUUGUUAAGUCACUUGAGACACUUCCUAGUGUCUUACGUAUGACUGCACUACAGUCACCAGUCUUGCAUGUGAAGUUUCAAAGCUGGGCCAGCUGAUGAGACACUACCGUGAGCUUGUGUAAUGUUCACAGCUAUACAGCUCUUGGACUGCCCACUGGGAGAAUUCAAGUGACUGCUUCAUCAGCACACGUCUUACUGUGCAGUGAGAAUGGGAACUGUGAUGCCUUUCCUUGAUGUGCUGAAUCCCUGAAGCUGAGGAAUAACCUGAGGUCUUCCACUGCAUAGGAACCCUUACUCUACUGUCCUAAUGUUACUACCAUUACCCUUAUGGAGACUUUCAUACACACACACACAAAAAAAGUAAUUCUUAACUAGAGCAUUUUUACUUUAGGUUAUUUUUAACAUCUAAAACAAGUUUGGGAACAAAGGAAAGGGAGGUAUUGUUCUUGGGGUUUAUUUUUUCAUCUCCUGAUGGCACUCACAGGAAUACCAAAACCUUUGCCAAUUGCUAUUAAAAAAUAACUGGCAUAGAACUCAUGAAAACUUUCUUUCAUCUUUCUUAGUUUAUUUGGAUGGAACAAAAUCCCAAGAGGAGCUUUUAUCCAGUGUGUACAGUGAUAUAAUACAGGAAUUAAAAAAGCUGAGGGAAGAAAACCAGCAGGUCACAGUAUGAUAACAUAGAAAGCUUGGGUUCCGUCUGAUGUGAAUUGAAAGCCCCAAGACUGUCAUACUUGGCAAGCCAACCAACUGAGCAGAUGUUAAUGUAUGUUUAUAAUACCCAUUUGGAGAAUACAAGUGGAUUUGUAGUGAUUACUGAGUCUGUAAGCCUCAGGUAUUGUUGAGUAAUAUCAACACUGCAUUAUUCUUCAGAAUUUCUUUAAUCAGUCAUUCUUUCACUGAUGUUUGAUUGAAUGUGUACAUUUUAAAGCAUAUAAACAUAUUUUUGUAUACAAAACUAAACUAGAAAGAUGCAGUUCUUUUGGACUAAUAAGCAUAUUUGAACGUGGAUCAAUACAAUUUUAAAUGUUCAUAUACAAAGGACAGUGAUUAAUUUUACAAGCUUCUAAUCACUGAUAAAUAUGGUUAGAUGAACUGGUUGUAUGUUGUAGCAGCAGUAAUUUGAACAUGGUAUGAAGUGUUACACUGCUUAUUCAGUAACAGAAGCUGUUAUUGAAUAUGUAACUGAACUUACUUGCUAAACACCUCUGUGUGUUUGCAAAGUAAUUUUUAUGUUGUGUGUUGGUUUGAGCAGUUAGGAGUGGAUAUUUAAAAAAAUCCAAACAAACCUGAAGAGAAGUCAGGUUGUUGGGAAAAGAUGGGGGAACAAUAUGGAGGAUAGAAUACUGAUGCAUCGUUAAUGACAUUAAGUACAUGUAUUGUGUGAAAAUCAAGGACUGGGGUGGCACAGACUACUACAAUAAAUGCGCGCAUCAGGGAGGAGGAAGAGGGAAGAAAUAAUUCUGGUUAAUAAUCAUAGCUCAGGUUGAAAUUGCAGUAACGAAUGUAUUCAGAAAGCAGCUAUGUGAAAUGUAUGUUGAAGCUUUUUUGUAGAAUUUGUAUAUUUAGAUAAAAUAGAAAACUGGAAAGUUUAAUCAUUUAGGGUGGCUGAAUAAUUUAUGAACUCUUACAUUUUCUUUGAAAACUUAUCAUUUAGAAUAGAAAUCAACCUACAGACAUGAAAAGCAAAGGAUGGGUUAUAUAUAUGGGCUAUAUACUGUGUGUUAGCUGAACUGAUCAGUGAUUGAAAUAUAAUGCUUUAUUGUUAACAGUAUUAAGGGUCCUAAACCUGUAUAUAUCAAGAGUUUGUUAAAAGAGUGGAGUUUUGUGAAGCUUGUGUUUCAGACAAAGUGCUUCCAAGUUCUAUUUUGUAUUACAAUUUUGCAGUAAAAAUACUUCAAGAUGGAUUUUAAACUGUA